GCUUCGUGGUCGAAUGGUAAGGACACUUGCUACUCACCCAGGAGGCCGGGGUUCGAUCCCCGGUCGAGGAGCU